UACGUAGGGGGCGAGCGUUAUCCGGAAUUACUGGGCGUAAAGCGCACACAGGCGGUUCGCCAAGUUUGGAGUGACAGUUGUCGGCUCAACCGACAAAGGACUUCAAAAACUGGUGAACUUGAGGACGAGAGAGGAACAUGGAACUCCAGGUGUAGUAGUGAAAUGCGUAGAUAUCUGGAAGAACACCAAUGGCGAAGGCAAUGUUCUGGCUCGUUUCU
rnacentral:rRNA from 1 species